GCGCCUGUGGCCGGCCUAAUGGAUGAGGCGUCUGACUUCUAAUCAGGCGACUGUGGUGGGUUCGAGUCCCACCGGGCGUG